AUAUUAGCAAAAUCCUUUUUUUUUUUUUUUUUUCAUAUCAGGAAACAUCUAUAGGUUUCAGGGAUUAGGACCUGAUAUCUUUGGGGGCCAUUAUUCAGCCCAUUACUCUGGAUUGCUUUAGUAAUCCCUGGAGGAACUUUUAUUUUUAUUUUUAAAAUUUUUUUACUUAUUUUUUCGCUUUGUAGGGCCAUACCCCUGGCAUAUAGAAGCUCCCAGGCUAAGGGUCGACUCAAAGCUACAGCUGCAACGCGGGAUCCGAGGUGCAACCUACACCACAGCUGAUGGCAACACCAGAUCCUUAACCCCCGAGCAAGGCCAGGGAUCAAACCCGUAUCCUCAUGGAUGUUAAUCGGGUUCGUUAACUGCUGGGAGCUCCCCUGGAGGAGCUUUUAAAUCUGCAUCGCCCACGCUCCACCUUACAUCACUUAAAUCAGAAUCUCUCUGUGAGGCUGGGGCAUGGAUAUUUUUAAAAGCCUCCCCAGGCGAUUCUGAAACAACUGCUAGACUCUGUGGCAGAUAACGUCUGGCCUAGAGCAUGAUGAAGGAAGAGCAGGUGUAGUAACAGGCAGGAUGUCAUCACAAUUUGGACACUUCUCCUGCUUUUAACCUGAUGGGACCUGUUGGCCAUCAAUGCCGACUGAAGGAAGCCCUCGCUGAAUGGACCUCUUGGGAAGGUUUUGUGGUUUAACUUCACUGGGAGCAUCUUGGCCCUGCUUCCUUCCAUUCCUGCUUCUUCUUUGCCAUCCAUCUGACGCUGAGGUCUUGGAGCACGUGAUGCCUCAGUCUGCCCAAGUUCUAAAGACGGCAUAGAGCUUACAAGUGAAGGGGGCUCAAAUGUCGCUCAUACUUUGCAGGCCUCACACAGAUAGAUCUCACACAAAUACAGCUGGGCGCUCCAGAGCUGUAAGCCCAAGUCUGAAGAUACCUUUGUAAAUUUGUAGGAAAAAAACAAAACCAAACAACUAAGGUUUGAACUACAAACAACCUUAGAGGCAGGCCCAGAACUGAGGAAGCAUGUCAGAGCCUCCAGAACUCAUGACUUGUUUUAGCCGUAGAGAGGGGAUAUUUUUCCUUUCUCACUGGACCCACUUAUCUAUGAAGAUGCUGGUGUUUUUCAGUGAAUGUAUUUGGGGAAAAUGGUAAUUGGGUCUAUCAAGAUCCCUGUGUUGAUGUGCAGCUUUGGCCCUAAGGACAAACGUAGACUCGGAACCACAUAGGCUUGUCACCUGGGAGCUACGAGGAUGACCAGGGAAUGUGCUAAGAAUUUGAUUGUCUGAGAACAAGAACCAAUUUAGGGAGUUCCUCAGUAGCUAUUUGCUAGUAGAUCAGUGUUUUCAAAACCCAGUUAGAAAGUCCCAAGCCCCACUCACCCCUGGACCACUAAUAUCAGGGAAGCCAUCUUUGCUUUUACAAAUCACUGAAUUGUCUCCGGGGAGGCAAAGAGGCAAUGAUCUCCUCUUGGGGGCUGCUGUCUUUUUUACGGUCAUCAGAUCUUGUCAUGGGCUCCAGCCACAGGGGAAUGUUGGUAACACCUGGAAAAGGGAGGGUUGUCUCUUUAAGUACUGGGAAUGUUUAACUGGAAAUCCUUUGUGGAUGGGUCCAAGAUCUGUAUAGCCUCUGUCCUUCUGAUGUGGAAUGCCUCCCUAGCACAGGGCCCCAAUUGGUCUCCUGCUCUUUGUUGCCAACAACCAUCUCAGCUUGGGCCAGACGUCAUGAAAAGAUCCAGUAACAGCAUGAUGCUUCAUGUGGGGGGUCCUUCCGUGGUCUUCCUCUUUGUAGCUACCCUCUUGUCUCCAGCAUCACUUGCACCCCAUUUUCUCCUAUCACAAUGCAAAUAUGAACUGUGUCUGUUUAUUAGUGGGUUUCCUUCGGAGUACUCUUUCAGUUUAGGGAGGCGGGGGGCGUUCUUUUCUGAAUUUUUAUGUUGCAUAUGCUCAAUGCUCAAAGAAAGGUUUGACUUUCUGGUGGGCUCCCUUUCUGAACCUCUUUUUAAAGCUUCCUGUUGGACAUACCCUUUCUUUUCCAAAAUGGCAGUUUCGUGUCCUGUGAGACAGGAAAUGCCUUUUCUCUUGAUUGCCCCUUUUCAGUGGAAAUCUAUCACAAAGGCAAUCACAAAGAAUUCUUUCCUGCUAAGAAGUUGGGUGCUCCAGUCAUACCUGUCUUAUCUAGAAAGUGGUUCAAUUAUUUUCAUCUCUGACAAAAUGAUGAACUUCAGAGGAUUUGCCCAAGGAGAGAGGGUGGAAGGGUUGGCAUGGCUAGCUUCACUACCCUCAUGUGGAGUCAGAAACCUGAAAACAGCCUCGCUCUCAAGCAUGCAUUCCCCUCUUUGUCCGGGGAGUAACGAUGGCUGAGGCGUUGGCAUGCAGAUACUUGCAGAGUGAAAAUGGAUACACUUCCCCAGCUCCUCAUCCCUGGCCUGGAGGACAGCCUGCCAGCCGUGCAUGCAUGUUGGUUUGGCACUGAGACAAAUGUUCCCUGGAGCAUAGACUGAAACCACCAAACUGAUAUCACAGGGGACACCGGCCAAAUCCUGACCUCGCUCUCUGCAGGUGAGAGGCUGUGGAAUUAACCUGUGAUGCUCUCCGGCUCCCGCCUGAUGGGUGGUCUGGAUUUGUUUUCUUUUUCUUUUUUUUUCUUUUUAAUGCCACAUUUGAAUCUCCUUGCUCUCCCCACCCGACUGGUAUCUACCAGCCACAGAGCCACUCUGCCGGUCUUGGCUUGGGAACAGUGGGCAGUGACUUGGCUCCAAGAAAUGGGCAAACCACACGAUUUCUUCUUGCCCCUUGAGAGGGAAGGGCCACUCAUGGGCUGUUCCAGCCUCGAGCCCGGGUGGCAGGGCCCUCGGGCUGGCAUCGCUGGCAUCUGUGGUCGCGGUCUGCUCCUUUUGCGUCCCUCUCUUCCGCAUUUUUCCUCCCACCGUUCCAACUUCUCCCAUCUCCCCCCCGCCUUUUUUGUUUCCAACCCUUAUUUAUUCAGAGCUUCCAAUAUUCUAAGUUUUUCAUGAAUCCAGGGCUUUAAUUUAGCAUGUGGGGUGCUGGCGCUUCCAGCGAGCUGCUUGGGUCAUUAUUUCCAACGUGAAGGAAUAAAGAGGCAGCAGGGUGCAGUGGACAGCAUGGGGGCUGGACGCCAGAAGGCCCCGUGCUAGUCCCUGUCUUGCAUCUAAGCAGCUCUGGAACCCUGGCCGGGCCUCGCCCUGGCUGCCAGGCUCAGUUUCCUCCCCAGAGGGAUGGGGAAUCGGGGCGAGAUGAUUUCUAAGGCUCGUCUCAUUCUGUGAUUCUGUGGAGCUCACUGGCCACGUGAAAUCCACAUUGGGUUGUGCCAGUGUCACUUUCCUUUGUGUUUUGAAAAACUAUAUUGUUACGAGGAUGAAUGAGGAGAUGUGAGCAGAGUCCCUAAGCUCGAUGUCUCCAACGCAGAAGACCGAGGGGAAAACCUUCCUGGAAAUCACUUUCCAGGGGCCAUCGAUUUAAAAAGGAAAAAAAAAAAAAAAA
ensembl:lncRNA